CCUACGGGUGGCAGCAGUGAGGAAUAUUGGUCAAUGGGCGCGAGCCUGAACCAGCCAAGUAGCGUGAAGGAUGACUGCCCUACGGGUUGUAAACUUCUUUUAUAAAGGCAUAAAGUGAGGCACGGUUGCCUUUUUGUAUGUACUUUAUGAAUAAGGAUCGGAUAACUCCGUGCCAGCAGCCGCGGUAAUACGGAGGAUCCGAUCGUUAUCCGGAUUUAUUGGGUUUAAAGGGAGCGUAGAUGGGUUGUUAAGUCAGUUGUGAACGUUUGCGGCUCAACCGUAAAAUUGCAAUUGAUACUGGCAGUCUUGAGGACAGUUGAGGUAGGCGGAAUUCGUGGUGUAGCGGUGAAAUGCUGAGAUAUCACGAAGAACUCCGAUUGCGAAGGCAGCUUACUAAACUGCCACUGACAUUGAUGCUCGAAAGCGUGGGGAGCAAACAGGAUUAGAUACCCCUGUAGUC
rnacentral:rRNA from 1 species